CGAUCGAUGGCGGGGGCCUGCGCUUUAGCAUAAAAGCCGCUCGCCGGGAACAGAUUAUUCACAACUCAAACCACCUCUGGAAGUGUUGUGUUUUACGUCUGAAGAGAAGACAAAUAAAUUUGUGCCAAAAUGCCGUCUCCAUGCGAUUCCUGCAAAGACACUUGCACUGAUGGCAAGGGCUGUGGUAGCGACUGCAAAUGCGGCGACGAUUGCAAAUGCGGUGAUCAUCAUCAUUCUGGUUCUGGUGAUGGAUGCUGCAGUGGUGAAAAGAAAGAGUAACUUCCAUCAACAGAUAUUUGAAAGUAAAUCCUAUUAAGAAGAAAAACGAUAAAAUGUAACCGACUUAUUAUUUAUUAACCAUUAAAAUGCUUGUACCAUCUUAAGUAGAAGAAGCAUAUUACGGCUUUUUACGGCUAUGAUUAUUUUAUACUUGUUUAUCGCCAAGACAUUCCUAUAUCUAAUUAUACUUUGCAGACGAAUGAAUUGUUCUGUAAUACAUAACUGUUACGUUUGUUGAUUAUUAACUUUUUAUGUUACUGUAUACGCAUAGUUCCUGCUGCAGUUUGCGCUUUAAACAACUGUUUAACGAUAUUUUAAGUAACUAAACGUUUGUUAAUACGUUCGCGAACAUGUUUUAUUAUACUGCAUAAAAUUUUAUUUUUUUAUUUUAAUUCAUUAUCAAAUUGUGAAAAUUAUGAAAGAAAUAUAAACUUGUAUUAAUAUAAGCUUUAUCUGGUCAAAAUUAUAAAAUAUAAGUUAUCAAAAACA